rnacentral:lncRNA from 1 species
AAUGUUUGCAAAUUAUACAUGUCACAUGUUUGAUACCCAGAAUGUGUAAGGAACUCCAAAAACUCUAUAGGGGGAAAAAUUACAAUGGACAAUAGAUCGGAAGAGACAUUUCUCAAAAGAAGACAUAUGAAUGGCUACCAGGUACAUUAAGAAAUUUCAGCAUCAAUAAUCAUCAGGGACAUGUAAAUCAAGACCACAAAAAAGAUCACUUCACCCCAGUGAGAAUGGUUAUUCUCAAAAAGACUAAAGAUAAAGAGUGCUGGUGAGCAUGUGGAGAAUAGGGAACUCUUGCACAUUAUUGGUAGGACUGUAAAUUAUGAAAAACUAUAUGGAAAUUCCUCAAAAAAUAAAAAAUAUGAUUAUUAUAUGACCCAGAAAUCCCACUACUGGGUACACAUCCAAAGGAAAUGAAGUCAGGUGACUGGAGAGACAGAGACAUCUGCACUCCUGUGUUCACUACAGCACUAUUCGUAGUAGCCAAGAACUGGAAACAACCUGUCCAUCAGGUGAUGGGUGGAUAAAGAAACAUGGACAACACGCACAGUGGAAUGUCAUUCAGCCAUAAAAAGAAUGAAAUCCUGUCAUUUGCAAUAACAUGGAUGAAUUAGGGUUAGGGUUAGGGUUAGGGACAUCCCUGUGUUAAGUCAAGUAAGCCAGGCAUAGAAAGAUGCAUGAGCCACUCAUACAUAGAAUCUUAAAAAGUUCAUCUUGGAGAUAGAAACUGAGAGUAGAAUGGUGGUUACCAGAGGCAGGGGAAAGAA